rnacentral:rRNA from 1 species
AAGGAAUAUUGGACAAUGGAGGCAACUCUGAUCCAGCCAUGCCGCGUGAAGGAAUAAGGCCCUAUGGGUUGUAAACUUCUUUUAGACGGGACAAAACCCCUUUACGUGUAAAGGGUUGAUGGUACUGUCAGAAUAAGCAUCGGCUAACUUCGUGCCAGCAGCCGCGGUAAUACGAAGGAUGCAAGCGUUAUCCGGAAUUAUGGGGUUUAAAGGGUGCGUAGGCGGACUAAUAAGUCAGUGGUGAAAGCCUGCAGCUUAACUGCAGAAGUGCCAUUGAUACUGUUACUCUUGAGUGGAGUUGAGGUAGGUGGAAUGUGUCAUGUAGCGGUGAAAUGCUUAGAUAUGACACAGAACACCGCUUGCGAAGGCAGCUUUCUAAGCUGUAACUGACGCUGAGGCACGAAAGCGUGGGGAGCAAACA